rnacentral:lncRNA from 1 species
AGGUCGGGAGGUAGAGGUGGCAGUGGGCGUGCAGGAGAAGCUGUAGGUCAGGAGGUAGAGGUGGCAGUGGGCGUGCAGGAGAAGGUGUAGGUCAGGGGGUAGAGGUGGCAGUGGGCGUGCAGGAGAAGCUGUAGGUCGGGAGGUAGAGGUGGCAGUGGGCGUGCAGGAGAAGCUGUAGGUCAGGGGGUAGAGGUGGCAGUGGGCGUGCAGGAGAAGCUGUAGGUCGGGGGGUAGAGGUGGCAGUGGGCGUGCAGGAGAAGGUGUAGGUCAGGAGGCAGAGGUGGCAGUGGGCGUGCAGGAGAAGCUGUAGGUCGGGAGGUAGAGGUGGCAGUGGGCGUGCAGGAGAAGCUGUAGGUCGGGAGGUAGAGGUGGCAGUGGGCGUGCAGGAGAAGCUGUAGGUCGGAG